AUCGCUUCUCGGCCUUUUGGCUAAGAUCAAGUGUAGUAUUUCAUCUACUUUUUCUGCCAGACCCCAG
rnacentral:snRNA from 1 species